rnacentral:rRNA from 1 species
UACGUAGGGUGCAAGCGUUAAUCGGAAUUACUGGGCGUAAAGCGUGCGCAGGCGGCUUUGCAAGACAGAUGUGAAAUCCCCGGGCUUAACCUGGGAACUGCAUUUGUGACUGCAUGGCUAGAGUGCGGCAGAGGGGGAUGGAAUUCCGCGUGUAGCAGUGAAAUGCGUAGAUAUGCGGAGGAACACCGAUGGCGAAGGCAAUCCCCUGGGCCUGCACUGACGCUGAGGGACGAAAGCUAGGGGAGCGAACGGG